rnacentral:misc_RNA from 1 species
CUGCACGGUGCGGCGGACGUUGAGCGCGUUGCCAUAGCCAUGAUCGGCAUCGACCAGCACGGGGAUUUUCCCUGCGCGGCAAAUGCGCCGCACCUGCUCGGCAAGCGGACAGCGUAAUCAGCAGCAGAUCGGGAUCGCCGAGGAUGGUCAGCGACGCAGCGGAGCCGCCGAGCAGUCCAAGCUCGAACCCGACGUCCUCGGCAAUG